CGUGGGUAACCUGCCCAAGAGAUCGGGAUAACACCUGGAAACAGAUGCUAAUACCGGAUAACAACAGAUGAUGCCUAUCAACUGUUUAAAAGAUGGUUCUGCUAUCACUCUUGGAUGGACCUGCGGUGCAUUAGCUAGUUGGUAGGGUAACGGCCUACCAAGGCGAUGAUGCAUAGCCGAGUUGUGAGACUGAUCGGCCACAUUGGGACUGAGACACGGCCCAAACUCCUACGGGAGGCAGCAGGG
rnacentral:rRNA from 1 species